CGAGUGUUUUUUCGAUAUCGUGCCAUAAUGCCAAGCAAGAGCGGCAUUGGAGCGGCCAUUUUGUUGUAGGUAACAUGGCUGAAACCGGAUAUCCUUCCUGCCUCAAUUCUGUCAUAUGCUAAUACCACAGGUUAGCGAUAGAGUCUUAUAUAAAAGUAUUGUUCGUUUUGUCUCUCGGGAGCUGCUCGGAGUCGCUCUGAACGAACCCAGCGACUUGAUAGUGUUCUUUUAGACGGAAGUAAUAUAGAGGGCAAUUGGGGUGAAAACUUGGUUCUGUUUUAUUACCUGCCGUUAGAGCUGUUGAGAACCAUUCAAGUCCACUCAGAGUUUCCCUGUAAUGCUCCACCGCAAAACGACAGUUCAAGUCGGUUCCAUUCAGGUUAUACAAUAAACAACCGCGUGUUUUGAAAUAUAUAAACGUUUAUUGCCGUGGCGAAAAUGAUAGCUUAAAGCAAGCGGGAAUGUAAAUUGGGGCAUCAGAACGUAAAUAAAGCGUGUGAAAAGUGGAGGGUUGGGCUAUUAAAUAACGUUCGGUCUUUCUUCGGCAAGAUCUUUUCCAACAUAAAUAUUAAAUGAUGAUGGAAACAUUGGAAUUCAGUCGGUAUGGUUGAUGUGAUGUUCAACCAAUCUUGAAUGCAGUUUCCAGGCUUUUCGCGUCGCCGUUCGCCACGAGAGGCAGCUGAACGUGAUCUCUAAGAAACUUGAGGCUAUCCAAAUCGAUUGGUUCGUUGCGCAUUUUCGGGGUUCUCGCGUGAACUGUUAGAAACGAAGCGCCAGC